AUUGAAAUGGUUUUACGAAUUUCGGCUCUUGGCUUUAUCAAAGGUCGUCACUGCUGCAUGCGGAAUCCGUACAAUAGGCUCGACUUUGUCAUUGUUUUCGAUUCCUGCUCUUUGCGAGGUGCAGGGUACAUAUCAUUGCUCGAGGUGUAACUGGACAUGAUUUUUUCGCGCGGAUAGCCGUGUUCCGCGUGUUUCGGGGCCUGCUAGCGUUGAAGCACGUCACAUUUUUUGCCGAUGGCAUAGUAUGGUUUGUAAAUUUCCUUUUGGCUGAUCUGUGCAUUGUUAACACUUUACAAUAGCCCAUCAUGGCGGCCGUGAAAAAGGGCGUUGGUCCUCUCCAAAACGUUAUCCUUUUGACGUUUUUUCUGUUGGUUUUCUAUUCUCUACUCGGCACGCAGUUCUUGCAAAACUCGAUGAAUCAAAGGUGCUUUCGAACAGCGGACAAGAAACUUGCUUAUCCCAUGCGCUUUUGUGACAAAAAAGCUGCUGGCGGCUACGUAUGUCCACCAUUUCAGAACUGUAUGACAUACGAGAAUCCCAACCAUGGAACGACAACUUUUGAUUAUCUCUGGUAUUCGCUGCUUACCAUCUCAGCAGUCCAAAAAUUGGCAGAAAUCUAAGCAGGGCCUCUAGCAACAGGAAAUCUUUCCAGCUUGCGGAGUACGAAGAGCUCGAGAGAACUCUUACAACCAUACAGAGACCGUGGUACUUGCGAGAAGGUCGCUUCUUCUUUUGGAGAGGGCAACACGAUAAGGAUCCUGUCUAGGAAGAUCCUCGGCAGUAAACCGUACUUGUGGUUUGUGAUAGUUUGGAUGGUCAUCAAUACUUGGCUCGUAGUUGAGAUGCGAGAUGAUGGAGAGCCGAUAAUUGUCCCCGAUUUCAUCUGGAAUCUGCAGAAGAUCAACUUUGUGGUCUUUUUGCUAGACUGUUUGAUGAAGAUCGUUGCACAGGGACUUAUUUUUGCGCCAGACGCAUACCUGAGUGACUGGUACAACAUCUUGGACUUGUUUAUUCUCGUCACCGAUGCGAUGCGUUUAUUCUUCUGAAGUAUAACGCUGAGAAUGAAACUUCCAUACCAACCGUCAGUGCGUUUACUUCUCUUCGGCCAUUUCGUUUCGUGGUUCGGUUUACAGGACUGAGGUCAUUAUUAUCAAAUCUUUUUCGGACUAUUCCAGCAAUUGUGUCGGUUAUUCUCUUCACAUUUUCAAUUCUCCUGAUAUUUGGAACCAUCGGGCUGCAGCAGUUUCGGGGCCUUCUCUGGAAAUGCAAUGACCCGACAAUCACGCACCGAACAUAUUGUACCGGCCUCUAUGUUAAUGACAUCGGCAUCCUUGCUCCGCGAGCCUGGGUUAAUAACGUUUUCCACUUCGACGACAUCCAGAAUGCCCUCCUCAGUAUGUUCGUCUGCUCCACUUUCGACAACUGGCUGACGCACUUCAUGUAUCCUGUCAUGGACAUCACUAGGGAAGACCACCAGCCUGUUCGGAACGCGAGUCCUGUCAACGCCUUGUUUUUCGUGGCAUUCUGCUGUAUCGGGGGGUUUUAUAUCGUCAGAGUUUUCAUCGGGGUGUUUAUCAACGAGUUUGGAAAAAAUUCUGGAGCAGUUCUUCUCACAGAGAAGCAGAAGCUGUGGAGGGACAUGAACCGUAUCAUCCAGAAAACUUGUGCUAUUCCGCUGGCUCGACGACCAAGCAAUCCCAUCCGGGGGAUGUGCUUCUACUUGAUUCGCAAUCCGACAUAUCAAAAGUGCAUGAUCCUCGCACUCCUUGGCUACUCCGGGCUACUUGCGACUAACUAUGCUGGGUUGUCGGCAGAUGUUUCGGACCGGCGUCAGAUGGCUCACUGUGCGAUUACAACAUAUUUCCUGCUUGAAUCCGUGAUGAAGUUCCUUGGCGACGAGGUUUAUAAGAAAGAGGUUGCACGGCAGAUGGAGUUUGGACUCUUCAUAAUGGCCGCCAUUGGUCUCAUGGGAAAGAAGGGAACGGUGAGGGGACUAUGUCGGCUGCACUGCCUACAUUGCUCGAGUUUUUGGCAUCAUUCCUCACGUAGCGAGAGCACGGGUUAUUCAUCUGUUUGCCAACUGUAGCUGAGAUACUCGCUCUUCUCGCAAUUUUCAUGUAUAUGUUUGCGGGGAUGGCAUUCCAACUCUUCAGUGCAAUGAAGGAAGGGACCUGCAUUGGCCCGUCUGUCAACUUUCGCACUUUCAUCAACGCUUUCAUCACGGUGUUUCAGGUUACAGCUCCUGAUAACUGGUCUUGCGUUAUGAUGGAUACCACAAUUGAUGCACCCGCCUGCACUAACGGUAAAACACUACUCGGCGAUGAUUUGCCAAACUAAACAGCUUAGGUAGUUUUUCAAAGGAAAACAAAGCUUAGCACAAUAGUAUCGACUUAAACCAUAUCUUUUCAAGCUCGAUUGUGGCUAUCCAGAGGGCGGGAUUAUCUUCUUCACCUUCUUGGUCUUGGUCAGGAGUCACAUAUUCAUGAACUUGUUUGUGGCUGUCAUACUGGACGCUGUACCCUUCGGCCUUGUGAACGAGAACUCUAUGGUCAUGCCGGAGCACCUGUUAGCAUAUCGAAACUUGUGGAGCCAAGAACCAUUCGAUCCCAAUGCUACGGGAUACAUUGGGAUGCACAAGCUGUGACGAUUUGUAAACGCCCUCGGUGAUCCGCUGGGCCGGCGCUACAAAUACGCGACCCAAUGGUACAUGAGAGCAGAGUACGAGGUGAUGAGUUUUCGAGUUCCAAACAAAGGAAUCCCUUUCAAGGAGCUGCUGGAAACGCUGACGCUGUAUAAGAUCGGACAACUGGGUUGCCUCUCACUCUGCGCAUCGAGCGUGAGAAGCGGAUCCAGGCCGUGUACAUCCAGGGCGCUGCGACGAAAAUGCAGGCUCUCGUGAGAGGUUUCCUGGCGAGGAUAAGAGCCGGCAAAGGUGGUGCUGCUGUGAGCAAAACCGAGGUAGCAGCUCAGCAAGAAUUGGAAUCGACAAGGAGCAAACCCGAGGUGCUAGAGAUUGCCAGGGACGUGGUGGAAGACGGUCGCAUUGUUUUAUAUAUUGAUUUAGAGGAGCAAUAAGUCGAACUACAGGCGUUCCGAUACCAAAACGCUUUGGAAAUUAAAACUUUGUUCUUGAGAUUGGGGCGGUCCUCAAGCCAAGGUGGAAUUUUCAUGCCUUUCGGGCAGUGUAGCUCUUCCAGCCUGGGAAAUGCGCCCUGGCUGUGAUUGUGGGACCACAGUGCAUCGUUAUGUAUCACGCUUCGCCCGGAAACGUGAAGACGUUUCAAACAUGGCAGCGAUGCAAUGGACGAUGGAACGAUAGUCUCAUUACAGCUCAACGUCACAUUUUCUAUAUCAGUCAUUUGAUCUGAUGGCUCAAAGAAAUCAUUUUGCAUCUUCUUGCUCGA